rnacentral:misc_RNA from 1 species
AAGUUGCUCCAUCUGCAUCUCUAAGUCAUCUCUUUCUCUCCUGUAUAUCUCAAUUUCACCGCACAGGUCUUCGAUCUUUUGUUCCAGCAUAUAUGAGUCCUUGACAUCAGUAUGCUCUCGCACAAGCUGCUCUAGUGCUUUUUGAUCUUCGUCGUCUUCAUCAAUCAUAUCAUUCUUGGAGAGAACAUCCGGCAAAUUUUCAGCAUCACAAGAUGUGGUAGAUUUGUUGCAAAAGCAGACAUUUUGUUUGUUCUUCUGUUCUAACAUUUCGUCUAGGUCACGCACAGCAAGAAUUAACUCGGAAUUCGAUUCUUG